rnacentral:lncRNA from 1 species
AUAUAUGACUAGAAAAGAGUCGUUGCAAAGAUGACCGUUGAAGUAGAUAACCUUUUGUCUUCAAGCAGCCUGUCUUGAUGCAGUUUGGUUGUAUCUAAAACUGAGUAAGAGUUUCAGGUACUUUGACUACUGCAGAGAAGACUUUCCUUAUUCAGCUAACACCACUGAUGACCCACGUUCUCAAAAGAGGACAGACAAAAA